rnacentral:rRNA from 1 species
UACGUAGGGUGCGAGCGUUGUCCGGAAUUAUUGGGCGUAAAGAGCUCGUAGGCGGUGUGUCGCGUCGGCCGUGAAAACCUGCAGCUUAACUGUGGGCUUGCGGUCGAUACGGGCAUCACUGGAGUUCGGCAGGGGAGACUGGAAUUCCUGGUGUAGCGGUGAAAUGCGCAGAUAUCAGGAGGAACACCGGUGGCGAAGGCGGGUCUCUGGGCCGAUACUGACGCUGAGACGCGAAAGCGUGGGGAGCGAACAGG